UACGGAGGGUGCAAGCGUUGUCCGGAAUCACUGGGCGUAAAGGGCGCGUAGGCGGCUCAUGAAGGCUGUGGUGAAAGUCCGGGGCUCAACCUCGGAUCGGCCGUGGCGACUCGUGGGCUGGAGCACUGUAGAGGCGGGUGGAAUUCCGGGUGUAGCGGUGGAAUGCGUAGAGAUCCGGAGGAACACCGACGGCGUAGGCAGCGCCCUGGACGACACCUGACGCUGAGGCACGAAAGCUGGGGGAGCGAACAGG
rnacentral:rRNA from 1 species